rnacentral:lncRNA from 1 species
AACUCUAGACACAAAUCAAAAUAAUACAAGCUUUAUAUUACAAGCCAGGGGCCUCGAGGGCUUGAAUACAAGCUCGAAACACAAGAGUCAGCGGAAGCAACAAUAUCUGAGUACAGACAUGAGUUAAACAAGGGUGCCUUAAGAAGGCUAGCACAAAAGCAACACGAUCGAAGAGGCAAGGCCUCCUGCCUGGGACCUCCUAACUACUCUUGGUCGUCGGCGGUCUUCACGUAGCAGUAUCCAUCGGCGGUGGCAUCUGGCUUCAUGGAUCCACCAUCUGGUUGCAUCAACCGGAAAGAAGAAACAAGGGGGAAAAUGGGUAGCAAAACAACCGUGAGUACUUAUCCAAAGUACUCAUAAGCAUCAGAUCUAUACUAAGUAUGCACUGGUAUCAAAUGGAAGGUUUGUAUCUGUGGACUGAACUGCAGAAUGCCAGAAUAGAGGGGAAGGCCUAGCCUAUCAAAGACUAGCAUCUUCAAGCAGCUCCAAGCAUCUUGCAGCAUGUAGAAGAGUAAAGAAUAGCAAAUUAUAAUUAACAAACAUGUUGUAACAUUAAUGCCCAGAGAUCCUUCCUUGACUCCCUGCGAGAAAGCAAUCCCAGAGCCACAUAUCUCAAGUAUCCAUUUGUAGUUGUAUAAGAUCAGGAUAUAAGUCUGAACGUCCGUUACCGUGGACGCGGCUAUUAAUAGAUAAUCUUCCCUGCAGGGGUGCACCACAUUUUCCAACACGCUCGAUCACUCUAGCCGGACACACUUUUCUGGGUCAAUGCCCGGCCUCGGAAGAUCAACACGUCGCAGCCCUACCUAGGCUCAGUAGAGAGGUCCUCGCCGGUCUACAUCCUAAGCACUCCGGGGUCUGGGCCCAUUGCGUGUUGCACUCCGGAUCAUUGCGUGCAGGGCGAUCCAGGCCACCUCCACUGGGGCGCCGGCCAGGCCGUGCCGCAAUGCUGAACUGGACGUCUGACAAAGCUUCGGCUGAUACCACGACGCCGAGGCCCGUAACUAUUCUCGUGUGGUGGUUGGUGCGUAAAGGCCAGAGGCCAACUCAGAACAAAUACCCAAACCAUAAUGUAUUAUUAGCUUGCAGAGACGAGCAGAGACUCACGAUCGAAAGUGACCCCGUCGCCCCGUCUCGUGGACUUACGACAAGGGCCUAGAAUGCCCGGCCGUGCCACGUAACCAUCUUGCGAGUGCUCUCCGGGCCCGCCCGACUUUCACCAAGGUCUUAAGUAAAGUCAAGGUAACUGUGUGUCCAGACACCAAGGGGAAAACCGAGGAAUCAUCCCCGGUGGAUUCCACUCAAUGUAAUCAUCAAGGUGAACGUAAGAGGGACCACCCUCGAGGUUCACACUUGAGGUGUUGAAAGACAGAGCCAUAUUGGGAAUGGUGAAAGAGGAAAUCACCCUCGAUGACCACGACCGAAUAGCUACACUACAGAAUUAUCAUCAGGAGUGCGUUAUGAGGGAUCACCCUCGGCACUCGAUAGUAGCUCUGCAGAGUCGAGCAACUAAAGGGGCGUGAUGUGAUGUGAGGUGUUGGGCUCUGGUCGUCGAUCACGUCGGUCAAGGCGUCGAUGAUGAAGCAAGGGCAACAAGGACAAGUGGGGGUCGCUGAGGGAUUACUAGCCAACCUAUACUAAGUAGUUUAGGAUAAGCAGGUAGGUACAACAGCAGGUACAAAAGCAGGCUAUGCAUCAGAAUAGGAGCAAACAAUAACAGUAGCAAAAUCUAAUGCAAGCAUGAGAGUAUAAAAUGGGUGAUAUCGGGAUGAUCAAAGGGGGGGGGGCUUGCCUGGUUACUCAGACAAGAAGGAGGGUCGUCGGUGACGUAGUCGAUCACAGUGGCAUCAGCAGCGGUCUCAGGGUCUACCAGAGAGAAGAGGGGGAAGAAACAGUAAAUACACGCAAACAUAUGCACAACAUGAUUAUAAGCGGGGCUAGAGGUGUUCUAAUGCGGUGCUACGUGAUACUGGCGAAGGGGGAAACAUCCGGGAAAGUUUUCUCGGUCCCGGACGUCUGUCAGAUAGAUGAACUAGAGGGGGAAGGUUGCAUGUUUGCUAUGAUAGGGGCAUGUGACAGAUGAACGGACCGUGUAUUCGGAUUAGUCUCGUCGUUCUGAGCAACUUUCAUGUAGAAAAGUUUUUCAUCCGAGUUACGGUUUAAUUUCUAUUAAUUUUUAAAGAUUUAAACAUUUUCUGAAAUUGUUAUUAUUUAAAAAUAAAAUGGGGUUAUUGCAUCAGCAUGACGUCAUCAUGACAACAGCAGGGUCAGCAGGUUGAUUGAGUCAAACUGGACAGUGGAGCCCAAUCGUCAUUGCCUGCUUAAUUAAUUAACAGUUAAUUAGCUAACUAAUCAGACUAAUUAGGUUAGGUUAAUUAACAGGAUUAGUUAAAUUGAUUAAUUACUAAUUAAUUAAUUAAUUAAGUAAUUACUAUUUUUUACACACAUUUUUUAGGGGCCGGGCCCCACGUGCAAGUGGCACCGGAGGCCAUUCGGGGCGGGCUGCUUAACGGGCGUGGGUGCCACGGGCGUGAGCACUGGACCCGAUCGCGUGGCAGGCCCAGGCGGCGAUAGAUGGCGAGCGGGCACGUGUUGGCGAGGGCGGUUGCCGAUGGCAGGCGCGGUAUGCAGGCGCAGCGGUGGCACGGCGGGACUGUGACGCGGCCCGUGUGGGCACAGGCGGCGGCAAAAAGGGGGUCGACGGCGGCCAAAGCCAGCAGGUCAGGGAAGGUGCCCGGGACAUGGGGCUACGCGUCUCGGCGCGGCAAGGCACGACGACUACAGCGCCCGGCAGGUAGGGAGAGAGGAAGGGGAAGAGGCCUCACGAGGCCCUAUAGAUGUGCUAAAGCGAGCUCGAGGAGGCGCCGGAGCUCGGGACGGCGAUAGUCGACGACGUGACGGUGAUGGCGCGGCGAGGUGGUGGAGCACUGCGGCAAGGAGGCCGCGUCGGGGAUGUGCAUCGGCGUCGAAGGCGCAGGGCGGCGUGGGAUCGGGGCCCUCCCUGAUCCAGAACCAGUCGAGUGGGAGGGCGCCGGGGAGGAGGGCGGUGCAUCCGACGAGGGGGCGGGUCUCCGAGCGGCGGCAGCAAUUGGCGGGGCCGGUCGGGGUUGCCCCGAUCCGAUCGAGAGGGUGGGAGAGAGAGGCGNNNNNNNNNNNNNNNNNNNNNNNNNNNNNNNNNNNNNNNNNNNNNNNNNNNNNNNNNNNNNNNNNNNNNNNNNNNNNNNNNNNNNNNNNNNNNNNNNNNNNNNNNNNNNNNNNNNNNNNNNNNNNNNNNNNNNNNNNNNNNNNNNNNNNNNNNNNNNNNNNNNNNNNNNNNNNNNNNNNNNNNNNNNNNNNNNNNNNNNNGUCGGCAGGAUGGGCCGGCCUGGCUGGGGUGGCCAGCAGGUUGAGGCCCAAGGGGGGGCGCGGUGGCCAGCUGGGCCAGUCGGCCUAGUUGAGAGGGGGGCUUUUCUCCCUUUUGUAUUUCUUUUUAUUUUCUAUCAAAAGGAUAGCUACUGUUUUGGAUAGUAACAAGGCAUCAAAUGAAUUUUGUCAAGUGUGAAACUUAGCAAAUAGUUUAGGCACAAUAUUGUGGUGUUGCCUAAAAAGUUUCAGGGCGAAAGGAAUUGUUCAAGCAUUUUUUUAGAGAUUGGAAAGGUCAUUUAAUAUGAUGUUGGACCACUAAAUAAUUUCCAAGGGCACUUUCGGAAUCCAAAAGAGGUUGGUUCCAACAUGACAAAUACCCAGGGAUUAUUUGCCACACUUUGAACAUUUUAGUUUUCAUGUUUGGCAAAUUUGAAUUUUGAAUUUAAAUUUGAGUUUGAAUAUGAACAGUGGUUUGGAUCAAGUGAGGAUUAGCAACAGUAAUGUGAUGACAUGGCACCAUUAACGGAGGAUUACUGUAGCUUAAUUAUCCGGGCGUCACAAUUCUCCUCCACUACAAGAAAUCUCGUCCCGAGAUUUAAGGAGUGAAAUAAGAGGGAAGCUAUAAGAAUGGAUGUCUGAAAGGAUCGGCAUCCGAUAGUUAUCUCAAGGAAGGAGAUUUUAGAAGCACCAAGAAAUGUAUCGAGAGUUCUAUAAGGAGGUUCAACAAGUUUCAACCCGGUAGGCAUCCUGUGGAUGCCUAAAACAAGUGAUGAUGGGGUUCCGAGCAAUGAAUAAUAAUGUUCUGAAACAUGGGGAGAAGGUUGGCUCGUGAAUUACAUACGAAGCCAAGUGCAAAGAAGGUUUCGAAAUCAAGGUUGUACAUGAGAGUAAGGUUUCGAUCUUGUGGAACUGUGGGUUAUGGGCCCACCAUGUGGAUCAAAAAUUAGGAAGGGUGAUGUCAUCUUGCACGAUCUUGAUAGCAAGGCAGGUCUGACAAUAACCUGUCAGUUAUGUCGGCAACAACAUCGGUACCAAGGGCGAGGGACGAAGAGAACCAUUUUCCUGCUUGUUAAGACGAGGCAGACCAACAGGCAAAGUUCUCGUCCGUCGGUGGCUACCGGAAUGUCAUCAACAAUAGUAACAGGGUCAUACUGACAGAGUUGUACACCGUGGUGUUUACAUAAGCAGCGAGUUAUCACUUCUUAGAUAUGUUAGUUUAUAAGAAAGGUUAAACAAAACAAUGGAAAGGGAAAGUGUAGACUUGAAUCAGUUAUCGGUGUUCUCGAGUGUCUAAAUACUCAGAACCCGUGGACAAUUGGAAUUGGCGAGAAAUAAUGGUUGAUGAAGAACUCAUAAGAGGUUAUGUAGUUUCGUGAUAAUCUCGAGAUACCAGAGGGUAAUACUUGAGGGUAGAGCAGAAUAGGGAUUGGACAGGUGAAAAGAUCUGCAGAAGGCAAGUACUUUAAAUUGUCCAAGAAAUGGGAUCAAAGAAGAACAAUAUGGUCGGAAACACGGUUGCAAAGGACCAAACAUAGAUACAAGAUAAACUUACACAAGGGGAUAAAUAUUAUUACAAGAAGCUUCAUUGAUAAGUUCCAUAUCGGGUCCAUGGGCAUGAACACAAAGGUUCAAGGUCGACUCCCACUUCUCUAAUGCACAACUUUCCUUUCACUUCUCGCAUUCGAGAAAGUUGCAGCGUUGAAGUUUUGCCUGACGAAAAGCCAUUGGAGUAUAACCCGCAUAACUUUUGAGUUCACACGGAUUUAGGGAAGACAUAGAUUCAACCCAUCGGGGCAUCUUAGGGACAUAUAACACAGACUUCACGAGAAAAAUAACUCAAGCUCGGAAGUAGAGCAUGGUUGAGGAAGCAGAGGAUACAAUUUACCAAAGGCAUUGUGUAUCCAAGUAAAUGCUCACAAGGUUACUGAAUAUGAAGGACGUUGUCGGAUAAAACCCAACAAAGGACCUGGAGGUCCACGAGGGAUCUGAUGUGAGCAAUGGUACUCAACAAGAAUAGGAAAGGAUGCAAGGAGAUUAGGUUAUAGAAACAACUGACUAAUUCAAGGCUCAAAUGCAACGGAAUUACGAUUUCCAAAAUCAAGGGAUCAGAAGCAAACGCUCUGAUCAAGGAUGGAUAAGUUGAAUAGACUUAGGGCACAAACGAUGGCAAUCUGAUUGGCCGAGAACCAGCUCAUGUUCGGGAAGACGUCUGAGCCGGAAAGAUAAUUUAUAAGGAUCAACUAAUGGUUGCAUCUAUUCACAAACAAUCAAAUCGAAAGACUCAAAAUGAUAAUGAGAAAGGAUGUCAAUGGAUACAGUUAGGCAUAGGGAAUUAAUCAGAGUGUAGGCAGGUAAGACUUUCUAGAGCAGUAGGCGACAGAGGUCAUUGAAAGCUCAGAUUGUAUUACCAAGUAUCUUAUGAAGCAUAAGAAUAACUGGGGUGAAUGGAUACUCGAUAAGAGCGAGUAAUUAUCCGAAGGGGUAUUCAUGUGGCAAGAACUGCAGGGCAGUAAGCAUAAAGGACCCUCGGAACAUUGAAGAGUAUUUCAGGACAUCUCGCAAUAACAAGAGUAACUGGGGAUGAAGGUAUGAACGACAAGGUAGGUAGUUACGCAUAAGGAUUUAUCGGUGGUAGGGAUUGCAACAGCGAAGGGCACAAGGGUCUCGAUAAAACAUCGGAGAGUAUCUGCAAAAUCUUCUGGUGAAGCGGGCCAUCAUUUGGAAUGAAGGGGCUCUCCGGGAGAAGUAUUUACGAGAACCUAGAGUUUGCAAAACCAUUUAACCCGAAUAGAAGAGAGAUCAGAGUCCCAGAGUAUAGACGAGUAAUAAAAGAUCCUAAUACCACCCAAGGGCGACGUGGGCCCGUAAGCCACACAACCAUGUUAGUAAAUCAUUUUUUCAAAGACUAGACUCAACUUCGGCCAAGGAGUUGGAAAGGGGGAUCCUACAGGCAGUCGGCUUUGAUACCAACUUGUGACACCCCCGAUUUAAUCAUACACUAAUCAUACAUGCAAAUGUGUACGAUCAAGAUCAGGGACUCACAGGAAGAUAUAACAACACAACUCUAGACACAAAUCAAAAUAAUACAAGCUUUAUAUUACAAGCCAGGGGCCUCAAGGGCUCGAAUACAAGCUCCAAACACAAGAGUCAGUGGAAGCAACAAUAUCUGAGUACAGACAUGAGUUAAACAAGGGUGCCUUAAGAAGGCUAGCACAAAAGCAACACGAUUGAAGAGGCAAGGCCUCCUGCCUGGGACCUCCUAACUACUCCUGGU